rnacentral:rRNA from 1 species
UACGUAGGGUGCUAGCGUUGUCCGGAUUUAUUGGGCGUAAAGGGCUCGUAGGCGGCGUGUCGCGUCGGGAGUGAAAGCCCGGGGCUUAACCCCGGGUCGGCAGUGGAUACGGGCAGGCUAGAGGUAGGUAGGGGAGAAUGGAAUUCCCGGUGUAGCGGUGAAAUGCGCAGAUAUCGGGAGGAACACCGGUGGCGAAGGCGGUUCUCUGGGCCUUACCUGACGCUGAGGAGCGAAAGCGUGGGGAGCGAACAGG